GAGUUGAUCCUGGCUCAGGAUGAACGCUAGCGGCAGGCUAACACAUGCAAGUCGAGGGGCAGCGCGGGUAGCAAUACCUGGCGGCGACCGGCGCACGGGUGCGUAACGCGUAUGCAACCUGCCCGCGACAGGGGUAUAACGGAGUGAAAAUUCCACUAAUCCCCCCGUACUCCCAGGGUACCGCAUGGUACCUUGGGGGAAAGCCUUCGGGCGGUUGCGGAUGGGCAUGCGUAGCAUUAGGUAGUUGGCGGGGCAACGGCCCACCAAGCCGACGAUGCUUAGGGGAGCUGAGAGGCUUAUCCCCCCACACUGGUACUGAGACACGGACCAGACUCCUACGGGAGGCAGCAGUGAGGAAUAUUGGUCAAUGGACGGAAGUCUGAACCAGCCAUGCCGCGUGAGGGAUGGAGGCCCUAUGGGUUGUAAACCUCUUUUAACCGGGAGUAAUAAGUCCUUUGCGAAGGAUGAUGAGAGUACCGGUGGAAUAAGCAUCGGCUAACUCCGUGCCAGCCGCUGC
rnacentral:rRNA from 1 species